rnacentral:rRNA from 1 species
CCUACGGGUGGCUGCAGUGGGGAAUAUUGGACAAUGGGGGCAACCCUGAUCCAGCCAUGCCGCGUGUGUGAAGAAGGCCCUCGGGUUGUAAAGCACUUUCAGUGAGGAAGAACGCCUGGUGGUUAAUACCCAUCAGGAAAGACAUCACUCACAGAAGAAGCACCGGCUAACUCCGUGCCAGCAGCCGCGGUAAUACGGAGGGUGCGAGCGUUAAUCGGAAUUACUGGGCGUAAAGCGCGCGUAGGUGGCUUGAUAAGCCGGUUGUGAAAGCCCCGGGCUCAACCUGGGAACGGCAUCCGGAACUGUCAAGCUAGAGUGCAGAAGAGGAAGGUAGAAUUCCCGGUGUAGCGGUGAAAUGCGUAGAGAUCGGGAGGAAUACCAGUGGCGAAGGCGGCCUUCUGGACUGACACUGACACUGAGGUGCGAAAGCGUGGGUAGCAAACAGGAUUAGAUACCCUAGUAGUC